rnacentral:rRNA from 1 species
CCCCCAGUAACUGCGAGUGAAGAGGGAAGAGCUCAUCAUUGGAAUCUGGCAGCGUUGCGCUGUCCGAGUUGUAGAUGAGAAGAGUAGGUCAUCUGGACUGCGUGGUGUCCAAGUACAAUAGGCCGUCAGUGGGACAUCAUAGAGGGUGACAAUCCCGUCCUUGACAACCAACGUACGAGUCCAUUACGAUGCCUAUCUCAGAGAGUCGAGCAGUUUGGGAUUUGCUGCUUAAACAUGGGAGGUAGAUUCCUUCUAAAGCUAAAUACAGGCAAGAGACCGAUAGAGAACAAGUACCGCAAGGGAAAGAUGAAAUAGAACUCUGUGAAGGGAGUCAAAAAGACGUGAAAUUGUUGCGAGAGAAGCGAUUCAAGUCAGCGUAGCUAGGCCCAUCAAGCUUCUUGCUUUGGACUAGCUUUGCCAGCGGUCUUGUCCUUUUAGAGACUUGACUUUUGACGUGCCCUGUCCGGUCUAACGGGCAGGCCCUUCGGGGCCAGUGGCAUGGCUGGUGGAAUGGCUUGCAAUCGACCCGUCUUGAAACACGGACCAAGGAGUCUAACAUGUGUGCGAGUAUAAGGGUGGCAAACCCGUAUGCGCAAAGAAAGUGAUAGCCUUUUUAUGGCUGAGAAUGGCCUGAUGACCAGACAAGCAAUAUUAUGUUCCUCGUACGGUCAUUGCCCAAGUCCCGUGGUCAGAUCCCAUGGACAUGGAGUUAGAGCAUACAUGCUAGGACCCGAAAGAUGGUGAACUAUGCCUGGACAAAGCGAAGCCAAAGGAAACUCUGGUGGAGGCUUGUAGCGAUUCUGACGUGCAAAUCGAUCGUCUGAUCUGGGUAUAGGGGCGAAAGACUAAUCGAACCAUCUCAUAGCUGGUUCCUGCCGAAGUUC